UACGAAGGGGGCUAGCGUUGCUCGGAAUCACUGGGCGUAAAGGGUGCGUAGGCGGGUCUUUUAAGUCAGGGGUGAAAUCCUGGAGCUCAACUCCAGAACUGCCUUUGAUACUGAAGAUCUUGAGUUCGGGAGAGGUGAGUGGAACUGCGAGUGUAGAGGUGAAAUUCGUAGAUAUUCGCAAGAACACCAGUGGCGAAGGCGAGUCCCUGGACAACACCUGACACUGAGGCACGAAAGCUAGGGGAGCAAACAGG
rnacentral:rRNA from 1 species